rnacentral:rRNA from 1 species
GACGAACGCUGGCGGCGUGCUUAACCCAUCCAAGUCGAACGGAAAGCCCCUCCUUUUGUGGGUUGCUCGAUUGCCGAACGGGUGAGUACCCCGUGAGUACCCUCCCCUUGCUUUUGGGAUACCUUCAGGAACCUGGGGCUAUUACCGGAUGGGAGCUCCUCCUGAAUGGUGGGGGUUGGAAAGUUUCGGCGGUUGGGGAUGGACUCGCGGCUUAUCAGCUUGUUGUUGGGGUAGUGGCUUACCAAGGCUUUGACGGGUAGCCGGCCUGUGAGGGUGACCGGCCACAUUGGGACUGAGAUACGGCCCAGACUCCUACGGGAGGCAGCAGUGGGGAAUAUUGCACAAUGGGCGGAAGCCUGAUGCAGCAACGCCGCGUGCGGGAUGACGGCCUUCGGGUUGUAAACCGCUUUCGCCUGUGACGAAGCGUGAGUGACGGUAAUGGGUAAAGAAGCACCGGCUAACUACGUG